UACGUAGGGGGCAAGCGUUGUCCGGAAUUAUUGGGCGUAAAGAGCGCGUAGGCGGUCCGAUAAGUCAGCUGUGAAAGUCAAGGGCUCAACCCUUGAAAGCCGGUUGAUACUGUCGGGCUAGAGUCCGGAAGAGGCGAGUGGAAUUCCCGGUGUAGCGGUGAAGAUGCGCAGAUAUCGGGAGGAACACCAAUGGCGAAGGCAGCUCGCUGGGACGGUACUGACGCUGAGGCGCGAAAGCGUGGGGAGCAAACAGG
rnacentral:rRNA from 1 species